rnacentral:rRNA from 1 species
GUAGGAUCCGAGCGUUAUCCGAAUUUACUGGGCGUAAAGCGCGUGUAGGCGGUCGGGUAAGUUGGGCGUGAAAGCUCCUGGCUCAACUAGGAGAGGUCGUUCAAAACUGCCUGGCUAGAGGGCGACAGAGGGAGGUGGAAUUCCCGGUGUAGUGGUGAAAUGCGUAGAUAUCGGGAGGAACACCAGUGGCGAAGGCGGCCUCCUGGGUCGCACCUGACGCUCAGACGCGAAAGCUAGGGGAGCGAACGGGAUUAGAUACCCCGGGUAGUCCUAGCUGUAAACGAUGUGGACUUGGCGUUGGUGGGGUUAAAUCCCAUCAGUGCCGUAGCUAACGCGAUAAGUCCACCGCCUGGGGACUACGGUCGCAAGAUUA